rnacentral:rRNA from 1 species
CCCUUAGAUGUUCUGGGCCGCACGCGCGCUACACUGAUGCAUUCAACGAGCCUAUCCUUGACCGACAGGUCCGGGUAAUCUUUGAAUCUGCAUCGUGACGGGGAUAGAUUAUUGCAAUUAUUAAUCUUCAACGAGGAAUGCCUAGUAGGCGCAAGUCAUCAGCUUGCGUCGAUUACGUCCCUGCCCUUUGUACACACCGCCCGUCGCUCCUACCGAUUGGGUGUGCUGGUGAAAUGUUCGGAUCGGCCGUUUGUCGCGGUUUCCGCGUCAUGUGGCUGAGAAGUUCAUUAAACGCUCCCACCUAGAGGAAGGAGAAGUCGUAACA